GAUAAUCAAAACAUCGUUUAAGAGUAACGUUACAACUUCAACUGGUGGUUCUUCAAACCAGUCAGAAGCCCGAGAAAAUCUAGCUAAUCUAGCGAGUUCAUGAGCUACUUUAUUUGUUUCUCUAUUACAGUGUUCAAAUCUGGUAGCUACAAAAUCACAAGCAUAAUGGAAACAGUCAUCAAAAAUUGUCGCCGCCGCACUCACAGAUCGUCCUCCAUCCUUCAUUGUCUCGAUAACCUCCAUAUUGUCCGAGUUAAUAAUGAGACGAUUACAACCCACUUUUUGCGCUAGAGUUAGGCCAAAUUUGAGCACUAGUACUUCAGCCAUCAAUACAUCCGCACAGUGGUCAAUCUUGUUGUUUCCCCCAGCAAUAAAUCUUCCUUUACCAUCUCGAAGGAUCGUCCCCGUCGUGCCCCGUAACAGAUCAUGAUCAAAA
rnacentral:lncRNA from 1 species